GAAGAAUUUGAUAAAUGAAGGGUAGAGCAGCCAUUGUCUUGCUGCCCUUCUCCUUGUGUUGUCGUCGAAGCAAGUUGUGAGAUGCAAGAAGAGAACAUGCUGCUGGUGACUCCUCGGGAGACAAGGGACACUGUUUGGGCUACAAGAAAAAAAAGAAUCCUGGUAUGCAGCAUGUGAGACACUGCGGACAGAGAUGUUCCUGCUCAUGACAGCGAAGAGGUUCUGUCCUUGGUUUUGUUGUUUCAAAAUGUAGACCCUCUAGCGGACUGGCUAUGCGGUGCAUUGAUGGCAGUGCUGCUGCUCCUGGGCUUGCCGAGGCCUCCUGUGCAGGCUUUGGUGGCCAUGGCUUCGACCUCCUCGGCAUGGCGGCCGUGUGUCUCAGCCUUGGUUACAAGAUAUCUGGAGUCCGGUAGGAAGGAUGGGCGAGGCGCUGAACCUUGUUUGACUUGUGGUAGUCGGACACGGCGCUGGAGUGGUACAAUGAGGUGCUAGUAGGUUGCCGUGGCACUCGUGUAGGAGAGGGAGAGGUGCAGCAUGCUGCCCUGAUGCAACAACAACGACAAAGGGAGAAUUGGAGCUGGUAGCUGGCCUGGAGGGAGGAGACUCGGAUCCGACGUGGUUUUCUUACAUGAGUCGAUGUGCUUGAUAACCUGGGGACAUCAUGGUGCCUUUUGUGAUCUGGGCAGUUUAGAUAUAUGUUGGUAAGCAAGUGUAUUAGUAGCACAAGAGGUCAUGUGCAAGUAUAUCUAGUUGCUAGUUUGUGUGUUCUUCCCGAAUGGGCUUUGCUGUAUCUGGCUGAUGUAUUAGUGUGAGCACAUACAUCCAUCGGACAUGGGAUCUUAUGAAGCUUGCUACUGUCCGAAUUUUGUUUUCAUUGUAACCUGAAGCUGAAAGAAUAUUGCUAGAGCACUUGAAGAUGUAGGAAUUAGAUUUUCCUUAUUUCCGCCCAACGUCACAUUUUGAGCUACGUCUGAUUUGAAUUGGAUAUUUUGUCUUGUCUGUCCAUGAGCGUCAGUGUAGUGUAUAUGCCUAUUGGUUCUGAUUUGGUAGUAGCUUAGAUUUGAUAAAUCCAAUUUAGACGAUUUGGUAUUAGUACAAGUU